ACAGCUUCAGGCUGGGUCUGACUGAGCUGGUGAGGUCCAGUAGGAACAUGAACACAUCAGGCAGUGACAAACUAAGCAAGCAAAGGGAAGACUUCAUGGGGCCACUGUGGAAUCUUGAACAGAAAACUGUGCAGAUGAGUUUUGGAGGAACCCGAGGAUGGAGAAAGAAGGCGGCCCUCUCUCUACAAGCCAUCAACACAAUGUGCUGGGACUUUGAUCUUGGACUUUCAACCUCCAGAACUGUGAAGAAAUCAACUUCUUUUGCUUAAUCCACCCAACCUAUGCCAGCCACCAGCCAUGGACACGUCUCCACACACCCCGCCCUGUUCCACAGGCCUGGCAUGGACAGAGGUGAAGCCGAGGGCACUGUCCAC
rnacentral:lncRNA from 1 species